AUGGUGAUGACGACAUGCAGCCUAUCCCUGCUGCGCUGGAGGUCGUCCAUCCUCCACCCUCUACCGGGGACGAGGUACGCCGCGGUGCAUUCAUCCAUGCUUUCACCCCUUCCGACCCAUCUCGGACGGCGCCGCACUGUGGUACCAGCCAGUCGCGACGAGACCGGUAACGCCUCCGCGUGCGGGCAGCCCACUUUCAAGGCCCGGUUGCAGUUCGCCGCAUGGCGCCAUCACCGAGCGUACGUGCUCUCCGUCAACAAGAGCACGGACCACAGCACACUGUCGUUUGCGGGCCGUGUGCUGUUUGCUAGCUGCUUCCACCAGGUGUGA
rnacentral:rRNA from 1 species